rnacentral:rRNA from 1 species
AACGAACGCUGGCGGCAUGCCUAACACAUGCAAGUCGAACGAGACCUUCGGGUCUAGUGGCGCACGGGUGCGUAACGCGUGGGAAUCUGCCCUUGGGUUCGGAAUAACAGUUAGAAAUGACUGCUAAUACCGGAUAAUGUCUUCGGACCAAAGAUUUAUCGCCCAGGGAUGAGCCCGCGUAGGAUUAGCUAGUUGGUGAGGUAAAGGCUCACCAAGGCGACGAUCCUUAGCUGGUCUGAGAGGAUGAUCAGCCACACUGGGACUGAGACACGGCCCAGACUCCUACGGGAGGCAGCAGUGGGGAAUAUUGGACAAUGGGCGAAAGCCUGAUCCAGCAAUGCCGCGUGAGUGAUGAAGGCCUUAGGGUUGUAAGCUCUUUUACCCGGGAUGAUAAUGACAGUACCGGGAGAAUAAGCCCCGGCUAACUCCGUGCCAGCAGCCG